UAAACGAAAGUUUGACUAAGUUAUAUUAAUUAGGGUUGGUAAAUCUCGUGCCAGCCACCGCGGUCAUACGAUUAACCCAAGCUAACAGGAGUACGGCGUAAAACGUGUUAAAGCACCAUACCAAAUAGGGUUAAAUUCUAACUAAGCUGUAAAAAGCCAUGAUUAAAAUAAAAAUAAAUGACGAAAGUGACCCUACAAUAGCCGACGCACUAUAGCUAAGACCCAAACUGGGAUUAGAUACCCCACUAUGCUUAGCCCUAAACACAGAUAAUUACAUAAACAAAAUUAUUCGCCAGAGUACUACUAGCAACAGCUUAAAACUCAAAGGACUUGGCGG
rnacentral:rRNA from 1 species